GGUUUCACCAUGUUGGCCAGGCUGGUUUCAAACUCCUGACCUCAACUGAUCCACCCACCUCGGCCUCCUGAAGUGCUGGGAUUAUAGGCGUGGGCCACCACACUGGGCCAUCAGUCUGUUUUUUAAUGGGAAGAAAAUGUUUAGAAGCAGAAUCCUCUUUGUGUGCACAGUCCAAGUGCCCUGGAUACCCCAGGACAGUUUCACACGUGUGACUGAGCGUCAGAAUGCCUUCAAACAAACAGCAGCCUCCACUGCCUCUUUCAGUCCUAGGCCUGAAUAUUCUUGAAAUUCUUGGCCUCGGUACCUGGCCUGGGCACAUAGGUAGCAGUGGUUCUUGGUCUGAGGGUUUCAGCCGUGGAUCUCUCCUGCACUGUUGAGUGGUUUUCCUCUGAGGGGCUUUUAAGAAAGGCUAUAUAGUCCCACCCUGGAUGUCAUCACCUACUGCCUCUACCAGCCUGGCCUCCCACCAGUCCUGCCCUGGAGCUCAGAGCAAGACCUCCCAGAAUCUGAUUGUUCUGUUAGUCACCUACGGUGCCUGGAAUUCUCUCAGUGCCAGCUUUCUGAGGAGCUCAAAACCAUUUGCAGAUCCUGCUGGUAAAAUGGCUGCCCUGAGGUCAGCUGAGCUCUGUGCUAAAUUACUUCUGCAAUAAGAGGCAAUUUUCCAAACUGUGCCUGAGAGUCCCAUAGACCCAGAGCUCCUCACCCACUGGAGGCCUUGGGAGGAAGGCAGUGUUUAAACAGACAUCCUGGGACUCUCCCGUCAGGGUGGUGGUCUCCAUAGUUACUGGGAUAUGGUUCUCACGGUAGGUAGAGCGUCUGCUCACACAGCCCCUCCGCCUUUACACCUGGGCAGAGGGAAGCAGGCAGGACUGCAUCUGGGCAGGCACGUAGGCUGGAAGUAGAAAAAGGAGGGAUGCAUUUUCACUAGGGGACCCGUGGAGCAAAGCGGGUGGGAAAAAAAAAGUCCAGGACCCAAAGAAAGUGCCAGCUUACCUGGGUAUCUCCCCAUCUUCAGCAAGGGGUCCCUUGGCUCACUUCCCAUAUGCACAUCCCAAGCAGCCCACCCUGACACAGCCCUAGGUGUUCUGAAGAUCCCAUGUCUUCCCUGAACCUCCAGGAAUGUUGGGCAUAGCUGCUCUGAGCUCUGCCCCACCCAGACUCUGCCUUCGAAAGUCUUACCCAGGCUGACUCACUGUCCUAUUACUCAGCCUUUCUGGGUGCUGUGUUUGGGAUAACGGAAAGCACGAAGGGUAGCCUGGGGACUACGGGCAGUGUUGAGAGAGUAAUGGAGUGCAGGGAAGGCCGCAGACAGGAAGGAACCUGAGUGCCUGGAGGGGCAGGGAGGUACCCGGGGAGGAUGGAGCGCCAAGCAAGAAGGGUCACAGGCCAGGCAUUUAGUCUGAAUGGGCAGAGUCUGCAAAGAGUGGGCCAGGAAGGGACGGGGAGCAGCCACAGCCCAGAUGGCCCAGAAGAGCGAGUGACUGUCCCCAACCUGAGCGAGGUCCCUGAGACCCAAGGUGGCUACUGAUCUCUUAUCCCCAGAGUUUCUUACAGCAGAAGUCAUAUGUACUCCAGUUUGUUUGCAAUGUAAGGAUCACAAAAAAU
rnacentral:lncRNA from 10 species